CAGACUGGACUCUGGUUUUCACACAGCGAUCACUCAGCCCUGCUAGCAGCACCUUAGGACCUCACUGCCUAGACUCGAACGUCAUGAAAGCCUCUAAGUUCAGGGAGAACUUCUGGUGUCCCCAAUUUCUCAGCACAAUCGGCUAUGACAGCAUUAUUCAGCAUCUGAAUGAGGGCCGAAAGAACUGCAAGGAAUUUGAAGAUUUUUUAAAAGAAAGGGCAAUGAUUGAAGAGAAAUAUGGCAAAGACCUGAUCAACCUCUGCCGGAAGAAACCCUGUGGGCAAAAUGAGACUAACACCAUGAAGAGGGCCCUGGAAGUCUUCAAGCAGCAAAUAGACAAUGUAGGACAAUCUCAUCUCCAGUUGGCACAAACUCUACGGGAAGAAGCUAGGAAGAUGGAAGAAUUCAAAGAAAAGCAGAAAAUACAACGGAAAAAGAUAGAAGUUUUGAUGGAUAACAUGCACAAACAAAAACAAUUACAGUAUAAGAAAACUAUGGAAGCAAAGAAGAUCUAUGAACAGAAGUGCAAAGAUAAAGAUGAGGCAGAACAGGCAGUGCAUCGGAGUGCAAAUAUAGCAACGCCAAAGCAACAAGAGAAGCUCUUUGUGAAACUGGCCACUUCAAAGACUGCUGCAGAAGACUCUGACAAAACAUACUUGUUGAGCAUCAAUUUGCUGGAGAAGAUAAGAGAAGACUGGCAGGAUGAACACAGCAAAGCCUGUGAGUUCUUUGAGAUUCAAGAAUGUGAACGAAUAAACUAUUUCCGGAAUGCGUUGUGGCAACACAUGAAUCAGCUCUCACUUCAAUGUGUCAUAAGUGAUGAGAUGUUUGAAGAAGUCCGUAAAAGUUUAGAAAUGUGUAGCAUUGAAAGGGACAUUGACUAUUUUGUAGCUCAGAGAAGGACUGGACAAGUGCCGCCAGCACCUAUUUUGUAUGAGAAUUUCUAUAACUCCCAGAAAAAUCCAGUACCAGGACGAAAUCCAGGACCUAAUGUAGGAAGGAGAGGACCUCCACCAAUUCCUCAAAAUGUAUCAGACGAUGAUGAUUACUCUUUGGUGACUGAAUGCAAUAUUAUCUCUAACCAGUACCAACAGAAUUGAAGACUCUCAACCUGAUGCUUCUUUGACUGUACAAGGAUUCAAUUUGGAGCAGAUCUGGCUACCAUUUUGUAUUAGUCAUGAAGACUCUGAAAUGAAAUGACCAACCAUGAUUCCAGAGGACCAAUGAUGAAGCAUUCUACUCACUCCUGAAAGAGGCAGAAGCUCACACACACACACACACACAGACACACACACAGACACACACAUAAAUUCACAGCUUUACCAACAAUGUAUUAA